rnacentral:rRNA from 1 species
UACGUAGGGUGCGAGCGUUAAUCGGAAUUACUGGGCGUAAAGCGUGCGCAGGCGGUUCGUUGUGUCGGCGGUGAAAGCCCUGGGCUUAACCUGGGAAUUGCAGUCGAUACUACUCAGCUAGAGUAUGGGAGAGGGUAGUGGAAUUCCCGGGUGUAGCGGUGAAAUGCGUAGAUAUCGGGAGGAACAUCAGUGGCGAAGGCGGCUACCUGGCCCAAUACUGACACUCAGGUGCGACAGCGUGGGGAGCAAACAGG